rnacentral:tRNA from 1 species
GUCCUCGUGAUGGAACAGGUAGACAUGCAUGGCUUAGACCCAUGUGCUUAUGCGUAAGGGUUCGAAUCCCUUCGAGGACACCA